GACGUAGGGUGCGAGCGUUGUCCGGAUUUAUUGGGCGUAAAGAGCUCGUAGGCGGCUCGUCGCGUCAGCUGUGAAUUCCGUGGCUUAACUGCGGGCUUGCAGCUGAUACGGGCAGACUAGAGUGUGGUAGGGAGACUGGAAUCCUGGUGUAGCGGUGAAAUGCGCAGAUAUCAGGAGGAACACCGAUGGCGAAGGCAGGUCUCUGGCCGACUACUGACGCUGAGAAGCGAAGCAUGGGGAGCGAACAG
rnacentral:rRNA from 1 species